AUGCACGCUGGCGGCGUGCCUCAUCCAUUCAAGUCGAGCGCACAGACGAGGAGCUUGCUCCUCUGACGUUAGCGGCGGACGGGUGAGUAACACGUGGAUAACCUACCUAUAAGACUGGGAUAACUUCGGGAAACCGGAGCUAAUACCGGAUAAUAUAUUGAACCGCAUGGUUCAAUAGUGAAAGACGGUUUUGCUGUCACUUAUAGAUGGAUCCGCGCCGCAUUAGCUAGUUGGUAAGGUAACGGCUUACCAAGGCAACGAUGCGUAGCCGACCUGAGAGGGUGAUCGGCCACACUGGAACUGAGACACGGUCCAGACUCCUACGGGAGGCAGCAGUAGGGAAUCUUCCGCAAUGGGCGAAAGCCUGACGGAGCAACGCCGCGUGAGUGAUGAAGGUCUUCGGAUCGUAAAACUCUGUUAUUAGGGAAGAACAAAUGUGUAAGUAACUAUGCACGUCUUGACGGUACCUAAUCAGAAAGCCACGGCUAACUACGUG
rnacentral:rRNA from 1 species